ensembl:lncRNA
UUUGGGUAGAAGCAUGUCCCGAGAAUCGUCGGGCAUUCUGAGUUUCGCCUGGGACCCCCGCUCAGAGGGAGUGGAGAGGUGCCAGGCGCUAUUCUAGGACGGGUGGGACGAUGCAUUUUGUUUUCAGGAGUGCAGGGCAGAGACGGCAGCCGUGCCUCCAUGCACACAGCAGCUGUGGGCCUGAAAGGGACUUUCUGUUCUUUCUCGUGUCCAUCAUAUUUAGAAUGGCCUUGCAUUUGAAGGAAUCAAAUAUAUUUUCAGAGUAAAGAAUAUUUCUGUCAUGGCAAGAAGCAAUUAUCUAAUUCUGGCCUGGAGAAUGCCAUGGACCGAGGAGUCUGGCGGGCUACAGUCCACGGGGUUGCAAAGAGCUGGACACAACUGAGCCGCUAAGCACAAUUAUCCCAUAUUUAGUGUGUUCGAUUAAAAAAAAUAUUUAUAUAUUGGUUUUUCUCAAAGGAGAAGCACACAGAGGAAAGCUUUUUUGCCAAGUCAGGAUGCACAGCCCUGGAGGAGGUUCCAUGAAGUCGCUGGAUCAAGGACCAGGAGACGGGAGUGCUAAGUACGGAUGUUGGGGGCAGGACAAGAACCGCAAGAGCCACCGGAAGACUUCGCCAAGCCCCGCCACUCACCAGAAGCGAUGGCCUCCUCUAGAGUGUCUCCAUGUGUCCAUAAGGCUGCUGUCAUCUCAGGUUUUACUGCCAAGUAAAAAUGAAAUUUCUUCUCGUGUUCCCCAAGCCAUCAAGCUCUUACGUGGCGCUGUGAACUUUCAAACGUUCGUAUUUCUUAUGUCUCCUAUGUGAUUAAAUAUGUGGCCUACCAAAUAUUGUAGAAGAGGGCAAAAAGAAAGAUACGUCAUGAAGAAAAAUACCCACGGCUCUAAAGUAUAAUAUCACACAAUUGGUUUGGGCCCAUAAGAUCUGGAUACAAUACUUUUUUUUUUUCUUUUUAGUUUUAAUCUAUAGUCAUCAAUGACAUGAAAAUGUACAAAGUCACCUCCAAACAAUAAGCAUCUUAGAUAAAAGAAGAUGAAAAAAUUUCAGAUUCUCAGCUCAUCAUCUUACUAUUCAUGUUAUUUCUGGGUUAAUUUCUUGACUCCAAAGAAUACAGUGAAUGAAACUAAUUCAGUUGUUUUCAUCUUCUGUGCCUCUGAGGCUGGCUUAUGCUCUUGAACACAUUUUGUGCUCAGAAAAAAAUCUCUGGGGUUGCAAAUGUUCUGAACAUGCUGAAGCGAUCCAUCCUUUUUUUUUUUUUUUUUUUUUUCAAUUUAACUGUAAGGAACUGAUACAAACCAAUUUUAUGAAUUUUUAACAAUGUCAUUUAGAACAAAAUAUAAAUGUGAUAGAGAUAAAAAGGUUUUGAAUAAUCAAUGUGCUAUCCUCAAUAACUCCAAGAGAAUGGAAAAUUGGGCAAGUUGUUAAAAAGGGCAAGAUGAACUCUAUAAAAAUAACAAACAAAGCCUGUAACAAUCUAAGCACCGAGGAAUUAGUGAAGGUAAUUAAAUAUUAUGAACAUUUUCAAAGGAAACAAAACAAAUCAGGAGCUAAAAAAAAAAUAGACACCCAUUGAAAGGGAAACUGUACAAUUCAAUAAUUAGAUGAGUGUCUUUUGCUCCUUAUUCAUUCUAACAAAAAUGUGAAACCACAGUAAAAACACAAACGACAUGUGCUCCAAGGAGUCCGACUGUUCCACUGUAGCUAUAAAAUUCUCCAAUCACCUGCACAAGCAUUAAGGAAAAGUUAAACAAAAAAGAGACACCUAGAGGCUAGCGAUCACCGUGCUGCUUCUGUUGAGAGCAGCCAUGGAUGGACAGAGACAGGACGUGUGGAGGGGAGCUCUCUCAGGAGCCAGCUGUGCCCACGGGUCCUCUCAGGAUUUACACCUUACAAAAUAAAUCCAAGACAAGAGGCA